AGCGAACGCUGGCGGCAGGCCUAACACAUGCAAGUCGAACGGGCUCUUCGGAGCUAGUGGCGGACGGGUGAGUAACACGUGGGAACGUGCCUUUAGGUUCGGAAUAAGCCCGGGAAACUGGGUCUAAUACCGAAUGUGCCCUUCGGGGGAAAGAUUUAUCGCCUUUAGAGCGGCCCGCGUCUGAUUAGCUAGUUGGUGAGGUAAUGGCUCACCAAGGCGACGAUCAGUAGCUGGUCUGAGAGGAUGACCAGCCACAUUGGGACUGAGACACGGCCCAAACUCCUACGGGAGGCAGCAGUGGGGAAUCUUGCGCAAUGGGCGAAAGCCUGGCGCAGCCAUGCCGCGUGGAUGAUGAAGAUCUUAGGAUUGUAAAAUCCUUUCACCGGUGAAGAUAAUGACUGUAGCCGGAGAAGAAGCCCCGGCUAACUUCGUGCCAGCAGCCGCAGUAA
rnacentral:rRNA from 1 species